rnacentral:snoRNA from 1 species
UGUGACGGUGAUGAGUUGCACUAUUAGUCAGGCUGCUGAUUGCAGUGGCAAAGCAGACCUGUCCUGACUACCUGUGGUGACACCCAAUGUGCACAGGGGCCAUCUGAGUCACU